rnacentral:lncRNA from 1 species
AAUCAAAUUACCAUGUUCGUUAUUAUACUAUAGCUCUGUAAACUGAUUGAAAUUUUGAUGCUUGGACAAGCGCCUACUAUGAGCUUUGCUAGUUUCCUCAAGUUUCUCCUGUUCUUUCAAUUAUUCGUUCAAAUAAGCCUGUCGACCGAUUCAGGCGAUUUAUCCGUUGCAAGACCGAGAUGGUACUAUCUUCGUUGUGUUCAAUGUUACCGUCCAGAUGCCAAAGGAGAAGCAUGUGUAAAGAUACCACAGUGCAUCAAAAGCCGCGAGUUUUUUGGAUACAUUAUGGGCUAAUAAAAGCUACAAAGAACCGAAGUUUGUACAUAUUUGGCCGCUCCUAGAGGCAAUUAGUUCUCACUUCCUCUGCGCGCUUCUCCGUAAACAAUUUGCAAAAAAACGGCCAGAACUUUAAUAAAACUUUAUUAUUAUUAA